rnacentral:rRNA from 1 species
GAAACUGUUUUUCUUGAGUGCAGAAGAGGAGAGUGGAACUCCAUGUGUAGCGGUGGAAUGCGUAGAUAUAUGGAAGAACACCAGUGGCGAAGGCGGCUCUCUGGUCUGCAACUGACGCUGAGGCUCGAAAGCAUGGGUAGCGAACAGGAUUAGAUACCCUGGUAGUCCAUGCCGUAAACGAUGAGUGCUAAGUGUUGGGAGGUUUCCGCCUCUCAGUGCUGCAGCUAACGCAUUAAGCACUCCGCCUGGGGAGUACGACCGCAAGGUUGAAACUCAAAGGAAUUGACGGGGGCCCGCACAAGCGGUGGAGCAUGUGGUUUAAUUCGAAGCAACGCGAAGAACCUUACCAGGUCUUGACAUCCAGUGCCANCNNNAGAGAUUAGGUGUUCCCUUCGGGGACGCUAAGACAGGUGGUGCAUGGCUGUCGUCAGCUCGUGUCGUGAG